GAUGAACGCUGGCGGCGUGCCUAAUACAUGCAAGUCGAGCGAACAGACGAGGAGCUUGCUCCUCUGACGUUAGCGGCGGACGGGUGAGUAACACGUGGAUAACCUACCUAUAAGACUGGGAUAACUUCGGGAAACCGGAGCUAAUACCGGAUAAUAUAUUGAACCGCAUGGUUCAAUAGUGAAAGACGGUUUUGCUGUCACUUAUAGAUGGAUCCGCGCCGCAUUAGCUAGUUGGUAAGGUAACGGCUUACCAAGGCGACGAUGCGUAGCCGACCUGAGAGGGUGAUCGGCCACACAGGAACUGAGACGCGGUCCAGACUCCUACGGGAGGCAGCAGUAGGGAAUCUUCCGCAAUGGGCGAAAGCCUGACGGAGCAACGCCGCGUGAGUGAUGAAGGUCUGCGGAUCGUAAAACGCUGUUAUUAGGGAAGAACAAAUGUGUAAGUAACUAUGCGCGUCUGGACGGUACCUAAUCAGAAAGCCACGGCUAACUACGU
rnacentral:rRNA from 1 species